rnacentral:rRNA from 1 species
ACGCUGGCGGCAGGCCUAACACAUGCAAGUCGAGCGGCAGCACGGGUACUCGUACCUGGUGGCGAGCGGCGGACGGGUGAGUAAUGCCUAGGAAUCUGCCUGGUAGUGGGGGAUAACGCUCGGAAACGGACGCUAAUACCGCAUACGUCCUACGGGAGAAAGCAGGGGACCUUCGGGCCUUGCGCUAUCAGAUGAGCCUAGGUCGGAUUAGCUAGUUGGUGGGGUAAUGGCUCACCAAGGCGACGAUCCGUAACUGGUCUGAGAGGAUGAUCAGUCACACUGGAACUGAGACACGGUCCAGACUCCUACGGGAGGCAGCAGUGGGGAAUAUUGGACAAUGGGCGAAAGCCUGAUCCAGCCAUGCCGCGUGUGUGAAGAAGGUCUUCGGAUUGUAAAGCACUUUAAGUUGGGAGGAAGGGCAGUUACCUAAUACGUAUCUGUUUUGACGUUACCGACAGAAUAAGCACCGGCUAACUCUGUGCCAGCAGCCGCGGUAAUACAGAGGGUGCAAGCGUUAAUCGGAAUUACUGGGCGUAAAGCGCGCGUAGGUGGUUUGUUAAGUUGAAUGUGAAAUCCCCGGGCUCAACCUGGGAACUGCAUGCAAAACUGGCAAGCUAGAGUAUGGUAGAGGGUGGUGGAAUUUCCUGUGUAGCGGUGAAAUGCGUAGAUAUAGGAAGGAACACCAGUGGCGAAGGCGACCACCUGGACUGAUACUGACACUGAGGUGCGAAAGCGUGGGGAGCAAAC